rnacentral:rRNA from 1 species
UACGUAGGGUGCGAGCGUUACUCGGAAUUACUGGGCGUAAAGCGUGCGCAGGCGGUGCUGUAAGACCUAUGUGAAAUCCCCGGGCUUAACCUGGGAACUGCAUUGGUGACUGCAGCGCUGGAGUAUGGCAGAGGGGGGUGGAAUUCCACGUGUAGCAGUGAAAUGCGUAGAGAUGUGGAGGAACACCGAUGGCGAAGGCAGCCCCCUGGGCCAAUACUGACGCUCAUGCACGAAAGCGUGGGGAGCAAACAGG